rnacentral:rRNA from 1 species
UAGAAGUAAGUGAAUAAGGGCGCACGGGGGAUGCCUAGGCUCUCAGAGGCGAAGAAGGACGUGAUAAGCUGCGAAAAGCUACGGGGAUCGGCCAAUGCGAUUUGAUCCGUAGAUGUCCGAAUGGGGCAACCCAGUCUUUUAAGACUAUUCCGUAAGGAAAGCGAACGUGGGGAACUGAAACAUCUAAGUACCCAUAGGAGGAGAAAAUAAUAAUGAUUCCGUAAGUAGUGGCGAGCGAAAGCGGAACAGCCCAAACCGAUUAUGUUACGGCAUAAUCGGGGUUGUAGGACCUGUAUAAUUGAUAACAAUCCGACGAGAAUAGCGUGGGAAAGCUAACCAGAGGGGGUGAGAGUCCCGUAUUGGAAGGAUUGUUUGAGAGACGGGUAUCCUGAGUAGGUCGGGACCGGAGAAAUCCCGAUUGAAACUGCCGGCACCAUCCGGUAAGGCUAAAUACUCCUGAGAGACCGAUAGUGAACUAGUACCGUGAGGGAAAGGUGAAAAGUACCGUGAAUAACGGGGUGAAAUAGAACCUGAAACCGUGCGCUUACAAGCGGUCGGAGCUACUUUGUGUAGUGACGGCGUGCCUUUUGCAUAAUGAGCCUACGAGUUACUCCUCAUCGGCAAGGGUAAGGUAUUAAGUACCGCACCCGGAGCGAAAGCGAGUCUGAAAGGGCGAUUGAGUCGGUGGGGGUAGACGCGAAACCUAGUGAUCUACCCAUGGCCAGGUUGAAGUUGUGGUAACACACAAUGGAGGACCGAACCGAUAAACGUUGAAAAGUUUCCGGAUGAGCUGUGGGUAGGGGUGAAAGGCUAAUCAAACUGGGAAAUAGCUCGUACUCCCCGAAAUGUUUUUAGGAACAGCGUCGUGAAUUGUAUGAUGGAGGUAGAGCUACCGAUAGGACUAGGGGGAGUCAAAUCCUACCAAAUCCUGACGAACUCCGAAUGCCAUCAUAUAGAAGCGGCAGUGAGGGCUUGGGUGCUAAGGUCCAAGUCCGAGAGGGAAAGAACCCAGACCUUCCGCUAAGGUCCCAAAAUCUAUGUUAAGUUGAACAAAGGUGGUCCAGUUGCAGAGACAGCCAGGAGGUUAGCUUGGAAGCAGCUAUUCCUUUAAAGAGUGCGUAACAGCUCACUGGUCGAGCGACAGGGCGUCGAUAAUAAUCGGGCAUCAAACAUAGUACCGAAGCGAAGGAUUGUAUCCUGAUUUAUCAGGAGCAGUGGUAGGGGAGCAUUCUAACGACAGUGAAGGUAUGGCGUCAGCCGUGCUGGAGUUUUUAGAAAAGCAAAUGUAGGCAUAAGUAACGAUAAUGCGGGCGAGAAACCCGCACACCGUAAGACCCAGGUUUCCUGAUCAACGCUAAUCGGAUCAGGGUUAGUCGGGACCUAACGCGAACCCGAAAGGGGUAGUGGAUGGACAAUGGAUUAAUAUUUCCAUACUAAUUAUACGAGUGAUGGAGUGACGGAGUGAUGAAAGAUCCGCGCGGUGACGGAAUACCGCGUUAAAGGUAGUAGGUAUUGGACCCAUAGUUAAAUGCGUGAGUCUAGCCGAAGCUGAUAGUACUGAGCGUUUACGGACAAUCAGAUAGUGAUCCUAAGGGCUUCCAAGAAAAACUUCUAGCGUUAAGAGUAUAAUUACCCGUACCGCAAACCGACACAGGUGGUCGAGGAGAGUAUCCUAAGGUGCUCGAGUGAAUCAUGGCUAAGGAACUCGGCAAAAUAGCCCUGUAACUUCGGGAGAAGGGGCGCCUCUAGCAAUAGAGGCCGCAGUGAAGAGGCCCAGGCGACUGUUUAACAAAAACACAUGGCUUUGCAAAGUUUAAAGACUAAGUAUAAGGCCUGACACCUGCCCGGUGCUGGAAGGUUAAGAGGGGAUGUUAUCGUAAGAGACGCAUUGAAUCGAAGCCCCAGUAAACGGCGGCCGUAACUAUAACGGUCCUAAGGUAGCGAAAUUCCUUGUCGGGUAAGUUCCGACCUGCACGAAUGGUGUAACGAUCUGGGCACUGUCUCAGCCAUGAGCUCGGUGAAAUUGUAGUCGCGGUGAAGAUGCCGCGUACCCGCAACGGGACGGAAAGACCCCAUGCACCUUUACUGCAACUUAGUAUUGGUACUGGACAAAUGAUGUGUAGGAUAGGUGGGAGACUUUGAAGCGGGUUCGCUAGGAUUCGUGGAGUCACUGUUGAAAUACCACCCUUUGUUUGUUUGGUAUCUAACCCCU